GACGAACGCUGGCGGCGUGCUUAACACAUGCAAGUCGAACGGGAGGAAAAGAGAAGCUUGCUUCUUUUUGAAUCUAGUGGCAAACGGGUGAGUAACACGUAAACAACCUGCCUUCAGGAUGGGGACAACAGACGGAAACGACUGCUAAUACCGAAUGUGUUCCGGAGACCGCAUGAUUUCCGGAAGAAAGGAUGGCCUCUAUUUAUAAGCUAUCGCCUGAAGAGGGGAUUGCGUCUGAUUAGCUAGUUGGAGGGGUAACGGGCCCACCAAGGCGAUGAUCAGUAGCCGGUCUGAGAGGAUGAACGGCCGCAUUGGGACUGAGACACGGCCCAGACUCCUACGGAGGCAGCAGUGGGGAACCUUCCGCAAUGGACGAAAGUCUGACGGAGCAACGCCGCGUGAGUGAUGACGGCCUCGGUGUAAGACGUCUGUUAA
rnacentral:rRNA from 1 species